AUAUAAUGGUGAGUAAGUUAAGCAUAUUAUUUAUAGCAUAAUAUCGUAAUGAGGUUGGUAAUUAAUAUUUUGCAAAUGGAUUCGUCUUGUUCUGCAACUUUGACAUGUUGCUAAACCGUUCAAUCUAUUCUUUGCUAAAGAGGCUAUAGGAGGCCAGAAUUAAAGGGGGUGGUUUGAUGUCCGGAAAGCGUAUCGACCGAUAUUGUAAAAAAUUAUAAUGUUAAAUAAGAAAAAAAAAGUUAUUACUUUUACGUUUCAACACUCAAUUCAACGUCUAAAUGACAAAGGAUGAACUCUUUAGGUGAUCAAGUCAAUAAUACAUAAUAAUGUUUGGUAUGUAACAAGACAACAGACAUAACUACGACCCUGUGUUGCUCCGAAAACGCCGCUGAAACUGGUACUUUGAGAUUCAUAAUAUAUGUCGUCAGGGUGAAAAACUAUUUAACAAAAAAUAAA